ensembl:lncRNA
AGGUUAGCAACAAGACUGUGUUGUCCAAAGGCGAUUAUUGGUCUCUCGUUAAUAUACCCGGAGCGGAACAAGAUGUAACUGGAUCCCCCACGUGAAUUAACACAGAUUCUGAAUUACAUCCAUAUAAGCGGAAUGGCAAAGGGGAGGGGAAAAGAGCCGCGACGCGGUUAAAAAAUGCACAGAGUUCUAUUUGCAAAUAAAAUGAUAUCAGUCAGUUGUUUCCUCUGAUCUGCACCGCCACGGUGGGUGAAAUCUGCAAUUGUGUAUUCCCUCCUGUGUCUUUCAGAGAAGUGUGGCUCAGGCGCUUUCACGGCAAAGCGGCUUGUGCUUUAAAAUACGAAACGCCCCCCCCCGAAAAAAAAAAAAAAAAAAAAAGCAGUAAACCGGCAAGUUUGCCCAAAGUGGUGGGAGCUGCUGAAGCCUCUCUCGGUAGCUCUUCCCUGACGCUGCAGCAGUAGAGCCGCCUGCGCUACACACACACAGAAAGAGAGAGAGAGAGAGAGAAAGAGAGAGAAAGAGAGAGCGAGCGAGCGAGGGAGGGAGGGAGGGAGGAGGGAGGACGAGUCAAGCGCUGCACUCCAGAAAGCCCAGCCUUACCCUCUGUCUCUGCUGCUGCUCUUGCUGCAAGUGGGAUAGCUGCUCAUCACAAAACACCAGUUCAGUCCUCAGCACCGAUCCUCAUUACACGCCAGAGUGUUGCUGCUGUUGCCAUCCCUAAGCCGUGAUCGGUAGUGAUUCUCUCCCACCCUUUCCCUCCCCACCUCCGCUUUAGACUGUGAAUCGAGCAACGAUUUUUAAAGAAAAUGUUUAUUCGCCUUUCUUUUAGGCAGAGCUGGUGCACGUUCGGAGCUCUGUAUUUUGCGGAAUCACACUGUGUCUUCACAUGCAAUCUCUCCCUGAAUGUGCAAUGUCUUUCCUGCUCAAGAGUGCAGCGUCCUUCACAGUGGAUUGGUUCCUCUUUCGGAGCAGAGCCCGGGAUGCUGGAGAUCUACCGAGGGGAAAUAAGAACGCGUGUCCUUAAAUGGACCAUCUGAUAACGCCAACGAGGAGGCAUCUUGCGUGUGGGAAAGGCUCCGUCUGGCUGGCAGUCCCAGGCGCGCGGCGCGGGGAAUCCGGCGGGAGCAGCCCGGGAGCUCCCCGCUCCGCUGCCUCCCCAGGCAGCCGCGGGGCUGCUGCGGCGCUGGGUGGUGCCUGGAAAGACAGGGGUCCUCGAUAAGACAUGCAGCUGUAAUUAACGGCCAGUUUGUCUGAAUUUCUUGGCGGAGCCUGGCUCCUGCCGCUCGGGUGUGAGCUCUCUCGCGCAGGGGGGAGUUAUCCUCUCGCCCCAGCACAAUUUGGUUUUGCAGUUUAGGAGCGUCGGUGGCUCUAACUGGAAAAUCACAUCUAGGGCCGCAGUGGGGACCUAUCGCGGGUUAAAGUGAGAGCGAUUAUUGAAACAUACAUACCGCUAUAUACAUUAACAAAUAUAUGUUAUUGUGUAUUGCUAUGUAUAGAUACACACGCGCGCACGUAAGUGAAGAAGCUCCCGAAGGAAAAAAAAAUCCAGGUGGGCUUUCAUUGAAAGAAAGUAACAUAUUCAUAAUAAUAUGAGGAAAAGGUUAAAUACAGUAAACAUGACAGCCAAUUCUAAAGGAGAGGAAAAACAACAACCCAAAACCCCACAUACAGCAGUUAAAGCCUUUUGACGGAAGGGAGAAACUAACUCAAGAACUCCACCAAGGGACAAACAGAUGCAAUGACACCACAACAGCACUAAGCCUGCCUUGACCUUUCAUCUUUUAAAAGCGUCUUGCUGAUUUGGUGCAAUUCUGCUGUGAUCUCUUCACCUCUCUUCCCUAUGACAACCUCCCUUAGGCCGCUGCAGAGCUCCCUUAGCUCGUUGCAGCGAAUAUACUGGGAGGUCGGCUGAAUUAUAGGGAGUGCUGACACUUGCCCAGGGUCUUUCACAGCUUUGCAGAUAUGCUUGCUAUGUAGUAGCAGAUAAUAGACACAAGUGCUUAAAAUAUUCAUUGCAGUAGCAGCCUUUCUGGUGGACAUUAAAACUUAAGACUUUGAAUAAGGAAACCACAGGCUUCCUUUUAAGCAGGUAUUAACUGUUUGCUUUUGUGGUUAUUUAACUUAAUGCAAGCCAAACGUAAAGCUAGUUGCCUUGUUUAAAUCUCUCUUUUACUCUGAGAAUUUAGAAGCAGAAAAUACAUUACAGAAGUUACUGACAAGGCAAAAAUAAUCUGUAUUGGAUAUCAGUGGUUAAAUCUUAAAUAAAUAUAACUACACUCUUAAAAUAAUAUUUGAG